UACGGGGGGGGGCAAGCGUUAAUCGGAAUUACUGGGCGUAAAGCGUGCGCAGGCGGUUAUGUAAGACAGUUGUGAAAUCCCCGGGCUCAACCUGGGAACUGCAUCUGUGACUGCAUAGCUAGAGUACGGUAGAGGGGGAUGGAAUUCCGCGUGUAGCAGUGAAAUGCGUAGAUAUGCGGAGGAACACCGAUGGCGAAGGCAAUCCCCUGGACCUGUACUGACGCUCAUGCACGAAAGCGUGGGGAGCAAACAGG
rnacentral:rRNA from 1 species